rnacentral:rRNA from 1 species
UACAGAGGUCUCAAGCGUUUGUUCGGGAUUCAUUGGGCGUAAAGGGUGCGUAGGCGGCGCGGUAAGUCGGGGUGUGAAAUCUCGGAGCUUAACUCCGAAACUGCAUUCGAUACUGCCGUGCUUGAGGACUGGAGAGGAGACUGGAAUUUACGGUGUAGCGGUGAAAUGCGUAGAUAUCGUAAGGAAGACCAGUGGCGAAGGCGG